UACGGGGGGAGUAAGCGUUGUUCGGAUUUACUGGGCGUAAAGGGCGCGUAGGCGGCCUCCGCAAGUCAGUUGUGAAAUCUCCGAGCUUAACUCGGAAAGGUCAACUGAUACUGCGGGGCUAGAGUGCGGAAGGGGCAACUGGAAUUCUUGGUGUAGCGGUGAAAUGCGUAGAUAUCAAGAGGAACACCUGCGGCGAAGGCGGGUUGCUGGGCCGACACUGACGCUGAGGCGCGAAAGCCAGGGGAGCAAACGGG
rnacentral:rRNA from 1 species